rnacentral:tRNA from 1 species
GGCUCCGUGGCUUAAUGGUUACGGCUUCUGCCUCACAUGCAGAAGGUUCAGGGAUCAAAUCCCGGUCGGUACCU